AAUAAAUCUCGGUAGGUGAGGUUACUACAAGGAUACGGAUUGCUGCCGUAAAAGGAUGGAAACAUUCUGAACUGGUUAGCAGGUUUUGCCGAACAAAGAAGGCUUAAUCUAAUGCAAUUACAUUGCCUUGCAGAGCUAAAACUUGAACGAGAAAGUAUUGGA
rfam:Clostridium sp. BL8 Contig113, whole genome shotgun sequence.